ACAGAAACCCAAUUAAAACCAAACAAUUCCCAUAAUCUAACCCCUAAACUAUUUAAUUGUUUUAUUUAAUAACCCAUGUAAUUAUAUAUAUAUAUAUACAUAUAUAUAAGAACAAUACCAGCAAAUUCGGCCAUCAUUACCUUCUACAGCUCACCUUUCUCAUGGACGCUGUUCAUUCGCGGUGGUCUUGGUUUCUUCUGUAGCCACUCCUGAUUAGCAGUUAGCAUUAUCAUUUUAGCAUCUAUUGGGGAAUCUUCUGGAACGUCACACUUAAUAAAUUUGUCUUAAAAUGAUUUCAUGCUGUACACCUGUAAGUAAAAUUGAAAUUUUUAUUUUAUUUAUAUGAAUGAAUUGUUGUCUCUCCACAAUAUAAAAGCUUUUUAUUAAUUUACGUUUGUUCGCUUAUUUGAGAACCAGGGUUAAUUUCUCUUUUUAUUUGAUUAAAUGCACUUUUGUGUUUGGCCAGUAGAGAUCGCCACAACCCACCAUUUAUUUUAAAUGACCAUCGAUGAAGAGCAGGUGUGUUACUUUGGGACCAACAGAGCUUUGAGUUCGUUAAUGUCCUUCUAGAUGUCAGCGAAAAAAUAUUUUAAGAGCAUAAACAUUUCAAAGAAAAUUAUGAUCAUGAACUGAAGCAGCGGAAAGAGCAACACGGAGGUGAGGGACAGGGUGAGGUGGAGGCGGACACUCUGCUGUAGCGACCCCUGGUGGGAGCAGCUCCAAGGAGGCUGUUGAGGGUGAGACUUGUUUUCUCCUGACCCUGGUCUGAGUCCAGCGACAACAGCUGCAGCUGAGGAGCCUCAGCCUUUUUCUCCAGUGACACCAAACUGUCCCAGUGGACGGACUCGACACAAACACACAACCUGCUGUUUGUCACAACAAGUGACUCACACACACUCACACACACACAGAGAAUGUAAAUACCCCAGUGUCGUAUGAGGACAGGCUUCAUGUUCGUCUGUCCUCAGACGACACUGACCUGCAGCAGAUGGACAGAACCAUAGACAGAACCAGAGGACCAGCUGUGAACACACCAACGGAUUUGUCCCUGCUCCACAUCAGCUGUCACAACAGCCCCCCCCACACACACACACACACACUUAAGUCCAUAGAGAAAACGAGUGAUUUUUACUCACUUUCUUUACUUUUUACUCAGCAGCACAGUAGCAGCAGCAGUAAGAGUUCUGUGGUCUUGGUCCAGUUCGACUGAAACGUCGUCUCCGGCUCCAGUUUUCUGUUGGAGGCCAUUUGAAAACACACUUCAAUAAUGAAAGACCCUAUUGUUUUCCACCUGAAGGGGGCAGGAGUGUGUGAAGGGUUGUCGAGGCUGAAACCAGAGACAGGAAGGAGAGGACAGCACCUGAGGACAUGUGAGACCUGCAGUCCAGCCCACAGCUAAUCUCCUGGUCUGGUCCGGGUUCUACAGAACCCUACGGCUGAGGUUCUACUUUAUGUUAGGAGAACUGUGGAACUUCUGUUCUGACUGUGGUCGAACUUCAGACUGGUUUUACUGUGGAGCUCAAUUCCAGCUCAGGAACUGGGAUAAAAGGCUUCUUUGUGACGCCAUCUUAGCACUGACCUCUGGUGGCUGCUGUGUCAAAUUACACUAACACAAUUCUUUUCUCUAUAUUGUUUGGGAGGUUUAAAGAAAUUUAACAAUUGAAGUCAGAAAUCACUUCCUGUUUUCAUCUUGACAUGUAGAAUGUCAGAAUGCUGCUGUGUGUGUCCACCGUUCUAAUAGCUACCAUCUGAACUGAGAUGAGUUCCGUGGCACCAGCAGAUCUACGCUAAUGUUCUUUUGUUGUUCUUCACUGUCGGCGGCUCGGUACC